rnacentral:rRNA from 1 species
UGAAGGUUUUCGGAUCGUAAACUCUGUUGUCAGGGAAGAACAAGUACUGGCCGAAUAAGCCCGUACCUUGACGGUACCUGACGAGAAAGCCCCGGCUAACUACGUGCCAGCAGCCGCGGUAAUACGUAGGGGGCGAGCGUUGUCCGGAAUUAUUGGGCGUAAAGCGCGCGCAGGCGGUCUUUUAAGUCUGAUGUGAAAUCUUGUGGCUUAACCACAAAUGGUCAUUGGAAACUGGGAGACUUGAGUGCAGAAGAGGAGAGUGGAAUUCCACGUGUAGCGGUGAAAUGCGUAGAGAUGUGGAGGAACACCAGUGGCGAAGGCGACUCUCUGGUCUGUAACUGACGCUGAGGCGCGAAAGCGUGGGUAGCGAACAGGAUUAGAUACCCUGGUAGUCCACGCCGUAAACGAUGAGUGCUAGGUGUUAGGGGGUUUCCGCCCCUUAGUGCUGCAGUUAACGCAUUAAGCACUCCGCCUGGGGAGUACGGCCGCAAGGCUGAAACUCAAAAGAAUUGACGGGGGCCCGCACAAGCGGUGGAGCAUGUGGUUUAAUUCGAAGCAACGCGAAGAACCUUACCAGGUCUUGACAUCCUUUUGCCCUCCCUAGAGAUAGGGAUUUCCCUUCGGGGACAAAAGUGACAGGUGGUGCAUGGUUGUCGUCAGCUCGUGUCGUGAGAUGUUGGGUUAAGUCCCGUAACGAGCGCAACCCUUG